GAUGAAGAACGCAGCGAAAUGCGAUAAGUAAUGUGAAUUGCAGAAUUCAGUGAAUCAUCGAAUCUUUGAACGCAUCUUGCGCUCCUUGGUAUUCUGAGGAGCAUGCCUGUUUGAGUGUCAUUAAAUUCUCAACUACACUGACUUUGAAUUGGUGUGGCUUGGAUUUGGGGGGAAAAUUGUUGUGGGCUUUUUGUAUAGUCUGCUCCCCUGAAAUUGAUUAGCGGUACCUUUGUGGAACUGUCUACAGGUGUGAUAAUUAUCUACAUCUUAGACAUCUGCUGGAAUGCUGCUUUCUAAACCUUACUUGUAUUGACAAUCUUGACCUCAGAUCAGGUAGGACUAACCGCUGAACUUAAGCAUAUCAAUAAGCGGAGGA
rnacentral:misc_RNA from 1 species